CUCGUGGGCGUUGAGAUUGAGCUGAGUUUGCGGCGAGCUUAGUGAUGGGAUGGGGAUGUGCAGGGCGCCGACACAAAAAGAUGAAGCGUUCAGUCCGUGCUGUCUGAACUCAUAGUGUAGUGGGCGAGAUAGACGGGAGGAUCGGUAGGGUGGGAGAUGCUGGAGAGGCUUCCGUGAGACUGGAUAAGAAAACAAAAAUCUGGUGAAAUUGGCGGCAAGGAGGGAGUUAAGGACAUUCAGGCAGAGGCAAGCUACUUCCCAUGGAAGAAUAAUGUUACAGAAUGAAAAGCUAACAUAACUCAGGACUUGAUGGGCGAAGAGGAGGUCUCGAAUUUUGUGAAAAUGGGAACUGCCUUCGGCUCCCUGCAACAGAAGAACCCAAAAGGGUGGACCUGAAGGAGGAGGGCUGCAGGCAUUUGCCUCAGCCGAGAGGCUGCUCUGUGGAGGGGACGCAUGGUGGCUGAGCGCUGUUCCAGCCGACCACCCUGUGCUUCAGCAUUGAGGAUGAGGAUGCCGAGGUCAUGGGAUUUAUCCAAGAGACUUGGUGAAUUCAGUAGUCUGGGCUACAGUGAUUGUCUAAUCAGUAAUAGGAGAGAAUUCAAUAAUAGAAGUAAUAGGAGAAUUCCUCAUGUUCCUAAAGAUACACUGAACCCUCCUCCCGACACCCACCCAAUAAAACUCAGCCACAAACA